GUUUGUGCAAAAAAAAAAAAGUUUAUAUUUGAAACCUUAUUAUUAAAACCUUGUGAUUGUGAUUUUUUUAAUUUUUUUAUCAUCUUGAAUUCUCUCAGCAAACUUAAAAAUAACAACAAUUUUAUCCUAUCAAAGAAAGAGCCGACCUCUCAAAAUAAGAUACAUCUUAAUUGUGAUUAUUGAUGCUAGCAAACUCAAAAAUAACAACAAUUUUAUCCUAUCAAGAAAAGAGCCGACCUCUCAAAAGUAACAAAAGCAAAAACCAAAAAUUUACAUAGUGUCUGAUUGGUAACCAAAAGCUGUACAAGUUUUUUAGCUGUUAGCUUUAUUUGAAUAGUGCAAAGCUGUUAGAAAGAGUUGUACAAAAAAGCUGAGAGUAAACUUUUUAUAACACUUUUAAUAAAGUUUUUGUUAUUGGUAACUGUGAAAGUUGUACAAAAUUAUAUAAAGCUGUAUUGUGUUACCAUUCAAACUCAUAAUCUGAUAUGUAAAAUUACAAUAAAUAUGCCACCAAUUUACGUCUAAAUAAAAUUCUACAAAACGCUAUCAAAUCACUACCAAAUAUGCAAAUCAAAGACAAGGAGCGAAGCUUAACUACUCGAAAAAAAUCUGUCUCACGAACAAGAACACCAUCAAAUCGAACCAACUAUCAUUCACCGCCAUAUCAACUCCGGAUAGGAAAACAUGUAAACUUUAACAUCGACUUGAGACAAAUCAAAACAACUAGAACAAUCUAGAGGAAAAUUGAAGUUGAACCAAGAAAAAAAGUGCUAACAUAAAGAUGAAAGCUUGACGGAUACUAACGAGAGAUCACCUCGAAAAAUAUGGUCUAUUUUUUCAAGAAAGAUGGUGUUGUUGUAUGAAAAUACGGGAGCUAUUUGACUUCUUGUGUAUAUCCACUUACUUUGAACCGUAUCACAGGUUUAAAAGUAAUAAUUCGUAAGUUUGAAAAAAAAAAUCUCAUUUAGCUAACAUUAAAGAAAAUUUAAACGUUGAUUUAAAACGCUUUAACAUGUUUCCAUAAAUUGGAUUAACAAAAAUUGCAACGUUUUCAAAACAGAUCGACGACGUUUUAAAAAAAAACAAGAUUUUAUUUAAACCUUUCAAUUUUUGUAUAAAUUAAGUAUAACAUCAAUAUAAAUUAUAGGAUUAACUUUUCAUCGUUAA
rnacentral:sRNA from 1 species